rnacentral:rRNA from 1 species
GCAUAUCAAUAAGCGGAGGAAAAAGAAACCAACAGGGAUUGCCUUAGUAACGGCGAGUGAAGCGGCAACAGCUCAAAUUUGAAAUCUGGCGCUUUUGGUGCCCGAGUUGUAAUUUGCAGAGGAUGCUUUUGGCGACGUGCCUUCCGAGUUCCCUGGAACGGGACGCCAUAGAGGGUGAGAGCCCCGUACGGUCUGGUGCCUAGCCGCUGUAAAGCUCCUUCGACGAGUCGAGUAGUUUGGGAAUGCUGCUCUAAAUGGGAGGUAAACUCCUUCUAAAGCUAAAUAUUGGCCAGAGACCGAUAGCGCACAAGUAGAGUGAUCGAAAGAUGAAAAGCACUUUGAAAAGAGAGUUAAAUAGCACGUGAAAUUGUUGAAAGGGAAGCGCUUGUGACCAGACUUGGGCUUGGUAGUUCAGCCGUCCUUUUGGGCGGUGCAUUCUGCCGGUUCAGGCCAGCAUCAGUUGUCGGUUGGGUAGAAUUGUGGUGGGAAUGUGGCUCUUCGGAGUGUUAUAGCCCGCUACGCAAUGCCCUCCUGGCGACUGAGGUUAGCGUUUUCACGGAUGCUGGCGUAAUGGUUAUCAGCGACCCGUCUUGAAACACGGACCAAGGAGUCGUCCUGCUAUGCGAGUGUUUGGGUGUUAAACCCCUACGCGAAAUGAAAGUGAACGGAGGUGAGAGCUUUGGCGCAUCAUCGACCGAUCCUGAUGUUUUCGGAUGGAUUUGAGUAAGAGCAUAGCGGGCCGGACCCGAAAGAAGGUGAACUAUGCUUGAAUAGGGCAAAGCCAGAGGAAACUCUGGUGGAGGGCUCGCAGCGGUUCUGACGUGCAAAUCGAUCGUCCAAAUUUGAGCAUGGGGGGCGGAAAGACUUACCGAACCUUCUACGUAGCUGG